rnacentral:rRNA from 1 species
AGAGUUUGAUCCUGGCUCAGAUUGAACGCUGGCGGCAUGCCUAACACAUGCAAGUCGAACGAGGGUAGCAAUACCUUAGUGGCGGACGGGUGAGGAAUACGUAGGAAUUUGCCCUUAAGUGGGGGAUAGCCCGGGGAAACCCGGAUUAAUACCGCAUGAUCUCGAAAGAGCAAAGUGGGGGAUCGCAAGACCUCACGCUUUUGGAGAAGCCUACGUCGGAUUAGCUAGUUGGUGAGGUAAUGGCUCACCAAGGCGACGAUCCGUAACUGGUCUGAGAGGAUGAUCAGUCACACCGGAACUGAGACACGGUCCGGACUCCUACGGGAGGCAGCAGUGGGGAAUAUUGGACAAUGGGCGCAAGCCUGAUCCAGCAAUGCCGCGUGUGUGAAGAACGCCUUCGGGUUGUACAGCACUUUAAGUUGGGAAGAAAAAACUCGC